ACGAACGCUGGCGGCGUGCUUAACCCCUGCAAGUCGUACGGUAAGGCCCUUUCGGGGGUACACGAGUGGCGAACGGGUGAGUAACACGUGAGUAACCUGCCCACAACUUUGGGAUAACGCUAGGAAACUGGUGCUAAUACUGGAUAUGUGCUCCUGCUGCAUGGUGGGGGUUGGAAAGCUCCGGCGGUUGUGGAUGGACUCGCGGCCUAUCAGCUUGUUGGUGGGGUAGUGGCCUACCAAGGCGGCGACGGGUAGCCGGCCGGAGAGGGUGACCGGCCACAUUGGGACUGAGAUACGGCCCAGACUCCUACGGGAGGCAGCAGGGGGGAAUAUUGCACAAUGGGCGCAAGCCUGAUGCAGCAACGCCGCGUGCGGGAUGACGGCCUUCGGGUUGUAAACCGCUUUCAGCAGGGACGAAGCUUUUUGUGACGGUACCUGCAGAAGAAGCACCGGCUAACUACGUG
rnacentral:rRNA from 1 species